rnacentral:rRNA from 1 species
CAGUCGCCGCGGGAACACGGAGGGGGCUAGCGUUGUUCGGAAUUACUGGGCGUAAAGCGCACGUAGGCGGCUUGGUAAGUUAGAGGUGAAAGCCUGGAGCUCAACUCCAGAAUUGCCUUUAAGACUGCCGAGCUAGCAGGUGAGAGAGGUAAGUGGAAUUCCGAGUGUAGAGGUGAAAUUCGUAGAUAUUCGGAAGAACACCAGUGGCGAAGGCGGCUUACUGGCUCAUACUGGACGCUGAGGUGCGAAAGCUAGGGGAGCAAACAGGAUUAGAUACCCCAGUAGUCCCUGUCUCUUAUAC